rnacentral:rRNA from 1 species
UUAAGCGACUAAGCGUACACGGUGGAUGCCCUGGCAGUCAGAGGCGAUGAAGGACGUGCUAAUCUGCGAAAAGCGUCGGUAAGGUGAUAUGAACCGUUAUAACCGGCGAUGUCCGAAUGGGGAAACCCAGUGCAAUUCGUUGCACUAUCGUUAACUGAAUACAUAGGUUAACGAGGCGAACCGGGGGAACUGAAACAUCUAAGUACCCCGAGGAAAAGAAAUCAACCGAGAUUCCCCCAGUAGCGGCGAGCGAACGGGGAGCAGCCCGGAGUCUGAAUCAGCUUGUGUGUUAGUGGAAGCGUCUGGAAAGUCGCAGGGUACAGGGUGAUACUCCCGUACACUAAAACACACAGGCUGUGAACUCGAAGAGUAGGGCGGGACACGUGGUAUCCUGUCUGAAUAUGGGGGGACCAUCCUCCAAGGCUAAAUACUCCUGACUGACCGAUAGUGAACCAGUACCGUGAGGGAAAGGCGAAAAGAACCCCGGCGAGGGGAGUGAAAAAGAACCUGAAACCGUGUACGUACAAGCAGUAGGAGCCCACUUGUUGGGUGACUGCGUACCUUUUGUAUAAUGGGUCAGCGACUUAUAUUCUGUAGCAAGGUUAACCGUAUAGGGGAGCCGCAGGGAAACCGAGUCUUAACUGGGCGUUAAGUUGCAGGGUAUAGACCCGAAACCCGGUGAUCUAGCCAUGGGCAGGUUGAAGGUUGGGUAACACUAACUGGAGGACCGAACCGACUAAUGUUGAAAAAUUAGCGGAUGACUUGUGGCUGGGGGUGAAAGGCCAAUCAAACCGGGAGAUAGCUGGUUCUCCCCGAAAGCUAUUUAGGUAGCGCCUCGUGAAUUCAUCUUCGGGGGUAGAGCACUGUUUCGGCUAGGGGGUCAUCCCGACUUACCAACCCGAUGCAAACUACGAAUACCGAAGAAUGUUAUCACGGGAGACACACGGCGGGUGCUAACGUCCGUCGUGAAGAGGGAAACAACCCAGACCGCCAGCUAAGGUCCCAAAGUCAUGGUUAAGUGGGAAACGAUGUGGGAAGGCCCAGACAGCCAGGAUGUUGGCUUAGAAGCAGCCAUCAUUUAAAGAAAGCGUAAUAGCUCACUGGUCGAGUCGGCCUGCGCGGAAGAUGUAACGGGGCUAAACCAUGCACCGAAGCUGCGGCAGCGACGCUUAUGCGUUGUUGGGUAGGGGAGCGUUCUGUAAGCCGUUGAAGGUGGCCUGUGAGGGUUGCUGGAGGUAUCAGAAGUGCGAAUGCUGACAUAAGUAACGAUAAUGCGGGUGAAAAACCCGCACGCCGGAAGACCAAGGGUUCCUGUCCAACGUUAAUCGGGGCAGGGUGAGUCGACCCCUAAGGCGAGGCCGAAAGGCGUAGUCGAUGGGAAACAGGUUAAUAUUCCUGUACUUGGUGUUACUGCGAAGGGGGGACGGAGAAGGCUAUGUUGGCCGGGCGACGGUUGUCCCGGUUUAAGCAUGUAGGCGGAUGUUCCAGGUAAAUCCGGAACGUCACUAACGCUGAGGUGUGAUGACGAGGCACUACGGUGCUGAAGUGACAAAUGCCCUGCUUCCAGGAAAAGCCUCUAAGCAUCAGGUAACAUCAAAUCGUACCCCAAACCGACACAGGUGGUCAGGUAGAGAAUACCAAGGCGCUUGAGAGAACUCGGGUGAAGGAACUAGGCAAAAUGGUGCCGUAACUUCGGGAGAAGGCACGCUGAUGGUAGGUGAAGUGACUUGCUCAUGGAGCUGAAAUCAGUCGAAGAUACCAGCUGGCUGCAACUGUUUAUUAAAAACACAGCACUGUGCAAACACGAAAGUGGACGUAUACGGUGUGACGCCUGCCCGGUGCCGGAAGGUUAAUUGAUGGGGUUAUCCUCACGGAGAAGCUCUUGAUCGAAGCCCCGGUAAACGGCGGCCGUAACUAUAACGGUCCUAAGGUAGCGAAAUUCCUUGUCGGGUAAGUUCCGACCUGCACGAAUGGCGUAAUGAUGGCCAGGCUGUCUCCACCCGAGACUCAGUGAAAUUGAACUCGCUGUGAAGAUGCAGUGUACCCGCGGCAAGACGGAAAGACCCCGUGAACCUUUACUAUAGCUUGACACUGAACACUGGUCCUUGAUGUGUAGGAUAGGUGGGAGGCUUUGAAGUGUGGACGCCAGUCUGCAUGGAGCCGUCCUUGAAAUACCACCCUUUAAUGGCUGGUGUUCUAACGUGGGCCCGUGAUCCGGGUUGCGGACAGUGUCUGGUGGGUAGUUUGACUGGGGCGGUCUCCUCCUAAAGAGUAACGGAGGAGCACGAAGGUCAGCUAAUCCUGGUCGGACAUCAGGAGGUUAGUGCAAUGGCAUAAGCUGGCUUGACUGCGAGCGUGACGGCGCGAGCAGGUGCGAAAGCAGGUCAUAGUGAUCCGGUGGUUCUGAAUGGAAGGGCCAUCGCUCAACGGAUAAAAGGUACUCCGGGGAUAACAGGCUGAUACCGCCCAAGAGUUCAUAUCGACGGCGGUGUUUGGCACCUCGAUGUCGGCUCAUCACAUCCUGGGGCUGAAGUAGGUCCCAAGGGUAUGGCUGUUCGCCAUUUAAAGUGGUACGCGAGCUGGGUUUAGAACGUCGUGAGACAGUUCGGUCCCUAUCUGCCGUGGGCGCUGGAGAAUUGAGGGGGGCUGCUCCUAGUACGAGAGGACCGGAGUGGACGCAUCACUGGUGUUCGGGUUGUCAUGCCAAUGGCAUUGCCCGGUAGCUAAAUGCGGAAGAGAUAAGUGCUGAAAGCAUCUAAGCACGAAACUUGCCCCGAGAUGAGUUCUCCCUGACUCCUUGAGAGUCCUGAAGGAACGUUGAAGACGACGACGUUGAUAGGCCGGGUGUGUAAGCGCAGCGAUGCGUUGAGCUAACCGGUACUAAUGAACCGUGAGGCUUAACCUU